rnacentral:lncRNA from 1 species
GCAUGAUUGGUUCUCUUCAUGUUUUUACUAAUCUCUCAGACGGUUAUGAAUCAAGCUCUGAUCAAGAAAGCUACUCUGAGACAAGUUCAGGUAAACUAUCAAAGGUAUCUAUCACUAUGACUCCUCUGUUUCUCUAUGUUUGUGUUGUGGUGAGUUUGAAGUUUGGUGUUUAUCUUAAUUAUUAUAGAUAGAUAAUGCGUUUGUGUCUCGUGUCUGCUCAGAGACUGCAGGUGGACUUCCAUAUUUGUUCUUGCUUUUGACUUAUGGCUUUGUCUUAUAUAGAGUUAUAAUAAUGUGUACAUGCUUUGGUUUUGUUCACAGGGAGAAGAACACAAGGCAUAGGAGCUCGUGAAAAUUUAAAUGGUGAAGCUCAUUAUUGAGGAUGAUGGUCCGUAUGAGCUAAUCUGAGUUUUGAUGUUGAAGAAGAUGAGAAGCUUGGUUGGAGAAGAUGACAUGGGAGCAGAGAUUAGAGUUUGAGAUUGAAUGGGAGUAGAGAUUAGAGUUUGAGAUUGAAUGUUAACAUAUGCAACUCUUGAGAAGUUGAAUGUAGAGUUAGCCAUAAAAAAAUGUACUUAGAAAUAUUGUCAUACUAGUUAUCUCAAAUCCUUGUAUGUUUUGGAUUUUUAAUGAAAAACAUAUGGUAUUUUAUUAUUUAUUUGUGUUUUAUUAGAGUAUAAACUCCAAACCC